UACGUAGGGGGCAAGCGUUGUCCGGAUUUAUUGGGCGUAAAGAGCUUGUAGGCGGUUUGUCGCGUCUGCUGUGAAAUUUCGGGGCUCAACCCCGAACUUGCAGUGGGUACGGGCAGACUAGAGUGUGGUAGGGGAGACUGGAAUUCCUGGUGUAGCGGUGAAAUGCGCAGAUAUCAGGAGGAACACCGAUGGCGAGGGCAGGUCUCUGGGCCAUAACUGACGCUGAGAAGCGAAAGCAUGGGGAGCGAACAGG
rnacentral:rRNA from 1 species